rnacentral:rRNA from 1 species
GGUCUCCAGCUGUGAGGGGUGGCUUGAAAAACUUUUAAGCAAUUCAUCUGAAGACAGACUGCUAGCUGGCUUGCUGGCUGCAGACUGGAUUAAUAAAGACAACUCUCAACAACGGAUAUCUUGGCUCCCGUAACGAUGAAGAACGCAGCGAAAUGCGAUACGUAGUGUGAAUUGCAGAAUUCCGUGAACCAUCGAAUCUUUGAACGCAAAUUGCGCUUGAGGCCUCGGCCAAGAGCAUGUCUGGCUCAGCGUCGG